GUGAGGGGUUAUGGCAGUAGUCUAGUGUGAGGGGUUAUGGCAGUAGUCUAGUGUGAGGGGUUAUGGCAAUAGUCUAGUGUGAGGGGUUAUGGCAGUAGUCUAGUGUGAGGGGUUAUGGCAGUAGUCUAGUGUGAGGGGUUAUGGCAGUAGUCUAGGGGUUAUGGCAGUAGUCUAGGGGUUAUGGCAGUAGUCUAGGGGUUAUGGCAGGGGAACAGUGUUACAGUAGUCUAGUGUGAGGGGUUAUGGCAGGGGAACAGUGUUACAGUAGUCUAGUGUGAGGGGUUAUGGCAGGGGAACAGUGUUACAGUAGUCUAGUGUGAGGGGUUAUGGCAGAGGGGAACAGUG
ensembl:lncRNA